rnacentral:lncRNA from 1 species
AGAAUUUUCAAGAGAGAGAAAAUUUUCUCUGACUAAACUGUCUUCUUAAAAGUACUGCAAUGCCAACUUAGAAUAAGAAAAUUGUCUUCUAGUGGAACAACCAGUGAGAAGCGAUGUUUGCCCACUGACAUCAAAUAGUUAGUCUCGAGAGAUGAUUUUUUCUAAGAGCAGCAUAGCCCUCAAAAAAUAUUGGGAUCUCCAAGUCUCCAUCAUAUAUUGCAAUUCCAAUACUGCAAUUCAUCAGUUUACAAGGCAUUAUCUAAUAAGUUCCUGGAUUGCCACAUUUAAACCAAAAAAAAAACAACACAUGGUACUGAACAUACAUUUUAAUAUUUUCCAAAAUAAUUCCAUUGGAAAUACACUUAUAGGC